rnacentral:misc_RNA from 1 species
UCAGUCCUGUGUUGGUAUGUUGUGUGGACACAUCACCAUGACUGCCAGUGCGCCGGCAGCCAGUAAAGCAACCCAAAAGACACCAGGCGCCAUGUUGGACGACCUACCCAAGAGAAGCAGCAACUUCAUCAGGAGAGAAGUUCGACGGACCUUCAGGAAAGACACAUUGUUCAAGAGGUUACCGAUCACAUCAUGGCUUCCCAAGUACAACCUGGAAUGUUUAGAGGGCGACCUGAUGGCUGGCUGUGCUGUGGGCCUCACAGUGGUCCCACAGAGCAUGGCCUAUGCUGGUGUUGCUGGCCUCCCUCCUAAUUAUGGCCUCUACUCCUCCUUCGUGGGGUGCUUCGUGUACAUGAUUUUUGGCACCUGCAUGGAGAUCUGCAUUGGACCCACAGCUAUCAUGGCUCUUCUCACAUACGAGUAUUCCAGGAAUGGUGUCCCAGACUACGCUGUGUUGCUCUGCUUCCUCAGUGGUGUCAUAACUCUUGCUGCAGGAAUUUGUAACAUGGGGUUUCUUGUCAACUUCAUAUCAAGGCCAGUGAUAUGUGGAUUUACCUCUGCGGCAGCCAUCACCGUUGCUUCCACCCAACUCAAGGGCUUGUUUGGCUUGUCAUUUUCAAGUCAAGGAAUUGUGCAAACGUAUAUGAAGCUUUUUCAAAACAUUGGAAAGACAAGAUGGCAGGAUUUGACUCUUGGACUCUCUUGUAUGGUCAUUUUGCUUCUCAUGAGGAAAAUGAAAGAUUUGAAAGCUGUGAAAGUUCAGACCAGUGACGAUUUGGGAACAAGAAUUUUUAAAAAACUUAUAUUUUUAACAUCAGUUGGCCGCAAUGCCAUUGUUGUUAUUAUGGCUCUAUUAAUCGCCUACACUCUUGACGAUGAUCAGCCCUUCAUAAUUACAGGAGAGGUGAAACCUGGCUUACCAGCAUUCAGGCCACCACCAUUUUCUACAGUUAUCAAUGGCACUAAUUUCACUUUUAUUGACAUGGUAACAGACAUUGGAUCUGGUAUUGUUGUUGUCCCUAUUUUAUCCAUCUUGGGAUCUGUUGCUAUUGCUAGUGCCUUUUCUGCUGGGAAGAUGGUUGAUGCCAAGCAGGAAAUGUUUGCUUUAGGAUUUUGCAAUCUCCUUGGGUCCUUUGUUCAAUCAAUGCCAAUAACUGGAUCAUUCUCCCGAACUGCUGUCAAUGCUAACAGUGGAGUGAAGACUACAGCAGGAGGCAUCAUCACCGGUGUGCUCGUCAUGCUGGCCCUGUCUUUCCUUACGUCACACUUCAAGUACAUUCCAAAGGCGUCACUUGCGGCUGUCAUCAUCUGUGCUGUGAUAUUCAUGAUAGAGUACGAGAUGAUCAUUCCAGUAUGGAAAGCCAGACGCUUAGACCAGCUGCCUCUGUGGGGAACAUUCAUCACUUGUCUGUUUUGGAAGUUGGAAUAUGGCAUCCUUGUUGGAGUGACUAUUAAUUUGUCUAUUUAUCUCUAUGGAACGGCAAGACCAAAAGUUAAUAUAAACGUCGUCAAGAAACAGGAUAGAGAUGAGCCAUCCUAUGUGGUAGUUGAGCCAAGCAGUGGUCUCUUCUUCCCAUCUGUGGACUAUGUGCGAGCAGCUGUCAACAAAGCCGGAUUAAUUACAGCACAAGGAAUUACAACAGUGGUUGUGGAUUGCAGUCAUUUUACUGGAGUAGAUUUUACAGCUGUUCAGGGAAUCAAGGGCUUGUGCUCCGACUUCGAGAAACGUCAUCAAACACUGAUCUUCUCAAAUGCUCCAACAAGUGUGAAGGAUGGACUCCAGUCACUUCAUGCAGAUAUCAAGAUUGCCACAUCACCAGAGGAGUUGCACAGCCUACUGAAAUAUAGUAGUAAGCGAUGAUGCACAAAAGCAACAACAACAACAUGCAUCAUGAUGCAGCCAAAACAGACAGCAUCACAUCCAGUUGCAAUACUUAGCAAUACUUCUGCAAUUGGACACAGCAGCUCAGUAGGGAGUUGUCAUGAAGGUGAAGACCCCGACAUGACCAACCCGCUGCUGGAAUUAUCUGCUGUGCCUACCAUUGUACGAG